UCUUUAUCCAUUCAUCUGUUUAUGGACAUUUACCUUGCUUCCAUGUCUUGGCUAUUGUAAAUAUUGCUGUUAUGAAUAUUUGGGUGAAUGUAUCUUUUUGAAACAUAUUCUCCAUCUUUUCCAGAUAUAUGCCCAGGAGUGGGAUUGCUGAAUUAUAUGUUAACACUACUUUUAGUUUUUAAGUAACCUACAUAUGGUAGUUCUAUAUUUAGGAACCUCCAUGCUCUUCUCCAUAGUUGCUACACCAAUUUACAUUUCCACCAACAUAUAGAAUUGUUCCCUUCCUCCACACCCUGUCUAGCCUUUAUUAUUUGUUAACUUUUUGAUGAUCACCAUUCUGAUUGAUAUGAUUUGAUAAAUCAUUAUAGUUUUGAUUUGCAUUUCUAUAAUAAUUAGCAAUGUUGCUCAUCAUUUCAUGUACCUGUUGGCCAUCUGUCUGUCUUCUUUGGAGAAAUGUCUGUUUAGAUCUUCUGCCCACUUUUUGAUUUGGUUUUUUUUUGUGUUUUUUUUUUUGUGUGUUUUUGUUUUGUUGUUGUUGUUGUUGUUGUUGAGCUCUAUGAGCUAUUUAGAUAUUUUGGAAAUUAAUCCCUUAUCAGUCACAUCAUUAGCAAAUAAUUUCUUCCAUUCUGUUUGUUGUCUUUUCAUUUUGUAUAUAAUUUGAAUUUCCUUUGCUGUGCAAAAGCUUUUUAGUUCAACUGGAUCUUUUUUUUCUUUUGUUUUCAUUACUCUAGAUGAUGUAUCCAAUAAUAUUUGGCUGGAAUUUAGGUCAAGGAGUUUUUGCCUAUGUUUUCCUCUAAGAGUUUUACAGUAUCUGUUCUUACAUUUAGGUCUUUAAUCAAUUUUGAGUUUAUUUUUAUAAAUGGUAUUAAAUAAUUUUCCAACUUCAUUCCUUUACAAGUAGUUUACAGCUUUCCCAGCACCAUUUACUGAAGAUACUGUCUUUUCCCCCUUAUUAUUCUUGUCUUCUUUGUUGUAGGUUAAUUAACCAUAAGUGUGUAGGUUUAUUCCUGGGCUUUCUUUCUUGUUCCAUUGAUCUUUGUGUCUGUUUUCAUGCCAGUACCAUACUGUUUUGAAUAUGUAUCUUGUAGUAUAGUCUGAGUCUGGGUGCAUGAUUCCUCCAGGUACUUUCUUCAACAUGAUUGUUUUGGCUAUUUAGGGUCUUUUGUUUUACCAUACAAAUUUUAGAAUUAUUUUUUGUUUUGUGAAACAUGCUAUUGGUUAUUUGAUAGGGAUUUAAUUGAACUGGUAGAGUGCCUUGGGCAUUAUGCUAGCAUUCAACAUCCAUUUAUGAUAAAAUCUGUUCACAAAAUGGCAUGAAGGGAAUACACCUCAAUAUAAUAAAGGUCAUGUAUGACAGACUCCCAGCUAACAUCAUACUCAGUGGUGAAAAGCUGAAAGCAUAUCCUCUAAUAUCAGGAAUAAGACAAAGAUUCCCAUUUUUUUACCACUUGUAUUCAACUAUUUUGUAAUUCCCAGCCACAGCAAUCAUAGAAGAAAAAAAAAUGAAGCAAUCCAAAUUGGAAAGAAAGAAGUAAAAUGGUCACAAUUGCAGACAACAUAUUAUACACAUGAUGAUGCUACUAGAGCUCAUCAAUGAAGCUGGUAAAGUUGCAGGAUGAAGAAAUAAUAUACAGAAAUCCCUUGCAUUUAUAUAGACUAACAAUGAAAUAUCAUAAAGAGAAAUUAGGGGAUGAUUCCAUUAACAAUCACGUCAAAAAUAACAAUAUAUCUAGGAAGAGACCUAGAUGUAUUGGAGGUAAAAGACUAGUACUCUGAAAGCUAUGAGAUGUUAAUGAAAGAAAUUGAAGACAAUUGGAAGAAUCAGUAUUGUUAAAAAUGACUUUUUUCCCACUAUCAGUUAUUUUAUCAGAGCAUUUCCUCGUCAGCUAACUUUGCAGGAUUAAUAGAACAAAAAGCAAUAUGUAAUAUGUCAAGUUUCAUUAUGUUUUAUUCUAGUAUUCCAUUUUGGACUUCUUGAAAAUUUAAGUACCAUAUAUUCUGGCACUUUUCCUUUCUUUUUCUUUAUUACCAUUUUUGUUAAUUUAUAAAAAACAUUUUCUAAGAAAUUUAAUACCAUAAACAAUAUGACAAAACAAAGGUUAUCACAACUAAAAUAUACCAAAAAAAGUCCCAGUUAGGAUUUGUGCAGCUAAAUUUUUAUUGAACAUCACCAAAAUGGGAGAAAAAAUUAUCAACUGAUAUUUCUAGGAGUGGUCUCAGCCUUUAUUAUUCUGAAAGUUUUAUCCCAUUAUGUAGAUUCCUAAGGUAUUUUUAAGUACCCUUCCAAUAGUAAAAUGGCUUUUGGCAUUAUGUGUUCUUAAAAUAUUUCAGCAAUGCUACUAUGUGCAGAGAACUUACUGCUUAUAAAUUAUUUUCUUUAAUGGGGGGGUUUAAUAGAAUAUGCCUGCUCUAUUAGCAAUUGUGUGUAUUAAUCAUUUUAAAAUAAUUAUGGUGGUUUGUUAAUAGUCCAAAUAUAGAUUUCAUUUUUGUGGUUCUAUUAAUCUAUAACAGUUAAGUCUUUGUAUCAACCAAGUGUUUCUAAAUCAAAGAUAUAAUGAAAAAAUUAUUAAUCAUUUUAUUAGAAGGUAAAAAAUGGUUCUUAGUUGAACUAAUAAUGAAAUCCAUAAUAUUUUAUUUAAAUUACUAGAAUAUUAUAGUUUAAAUUGUGACUAUAUAGACUCUUGCAAUUUCAAAGGUCUUAUAUCACUUGUGAACAUGAAAAUUAUAUUUUGUUGAUGAUAUUUUCUCUGUGUAAUAUUACAUUUUUGUGAGGUUUCUAUAAUCAAGUCAAGAUUUAUGUCUGAAAAUUCUUACAUUAUGCAAUUUAUUUUCAAAAAUGGAACAAGUUAACUUUGUUUUAAAAAUAUAAGUAAGAAAUAAAGAAAUAUGUGGAAAUAUAUUUAAUUCUAAGGAUUCUAAUAAAAAAAAGAUUCUAAUAGAAAUAGAGUUUAUUUUCUAAUAGAAAAUAGAGUUUAAUUAAAUGGUGUUACUGUAUACUUCCAGGGAUUACUUACCAUUUUAUUUUAUCAUUUUAAAACUCUCUUUUCAGAAUGACAGUUUAACAUUUUAGAAUAAUCCUUUAGAGAAAAUGCUUUUUUUUCCUAACUAGGAAAUAUAUCUUCUAAAGAAAUAUUUCCUCCUCUGUAUGACAAUUCCCCAAACAAUUGAAUAUACAGAUUCUCCACCUCCUGAUCUCCCUAAAUCCCCUCUCCUUUAGAAACUCAAUAAAACACAACAAUCAAAAAAUGAUUUGGGCAAUUCCUUUAGUGGCUCAGUGUGUUAAGGACCUGACACCAUCACUGUGAGGAUACAGGUUCAAUCCCUGGCCUCACUCAGUAGGUUAGGGAUCUACAUUGCUGCAAACUGUGGCAUAUGUUGCAGAUGCAGCUUGGAGCGAGUGUUGCUAUGGUUGUGCUGUAGGCUUGCAGAUGCAGCUCUGAUUCGACCCCUAGGCUUGGAGCUUCCAUGUGCCACAGGCAGGGCCAUAAAAAA
rnacentral:lncRNA from 1 species